GCUGGGUCUGGCUGUAGCUGGCUAUGGCUCUUAGCCUAUAAACUCCUACGAAUUUAAUCUCUCGGUAAUAAUCGCCACUUUAUAUAGUAUCUUUUAAUACAAUUAAACAAUAAAGUGCAGUAUAUUUUGCGUUUUUAUUGUAACAGGUUGUUUAUAAUGUUAUUCAAAAUAACUGGCCUUCAACGACAAGUGCUUAUUUCGUCAUGUUUAUAUAUUUCACAAGCAUUAGGUGGUUACGCUAGUGCAUGGUCUGGGCCGGUGAUACCUAAACUGCGUGAUCUGAAACAGUCGCCGCUUCCGUAUUUGCUGACUGAAACACAGUUGUCUUUAGUUGCAACCCUACUGUAUCUGGGUGCUAUAGUAGGACCAUAUAUAGUGUUGUGGCUAUCAAAUGUAAAAGGUCGGAAGCCUUGUCUUAUAUUGAGUGGAGUCUUAAUAGGUGUUGGAUAUAUAAUUUUGGCAGCUGCUAGAAGCAUAUCAGUACUAUUUCUCGGCAGAUUCCUAUCAGGAAUGGGAAUUGGUGGGGUUGGUGUAAUGAAUGUCGUGUAUAUUGGUGAAAUUG